rfam:Diplodia corticola strain CBS 112549 scaffold64, whole genome shotgun sequence.
GCCCGCAUGGCUUAGUGGUACAGCGUCGCACUCGUAAAAUACGGUAAUGCGAAGAUCCCUGGUUCGAUUCCGGGUGUGGGCA